GCGGCAUUGGCGUAAUUGGUAGCCGCGCUAGACUUAGGAUCUAGUGACGAAAGUCGUGUAGGUUCGAGUCCUACAUGCCGCA
rnacentral:tRNA from 2 species